UUGAACGCUGGCGGCAGGCCUCACACAUGCAAGUCGAGCGGAUGAAGGGAGCUUGCUCCUGGAUUCAGCGGCAGACGGGUGAGUAAUGCCUAGGAAUCUGCCUGGUAGUGGGGGAUAACGUCGGGAAACGGGCGCUAAUACCGCAUACGUCCUGAGGGAGAAAGUGGGGGAUCUUCGGACCUCACGCUAUCAGAUGAGCCUAGGUCGGAUUAGCUAGUUGGUGGGGUAAAGGCCUACCAAGGCGACGAUCCGUAACUGGUCUGAGAGGAUGAUCAGUCACACUGGAACUGAGACACGGUCCAGACUCCUACGGGAGGCAGCAGUGGGGAAUAUUGGACAAUGGGCGAAAGCCUGAUCCAGCCAUGCCGCGUGUGUGAAGAAGGUCUUCGGAUUGUAAAGCACUUUAAGUUGGGAGGAAGGGCAGUAAGUUAAUACCUUGCUGUUUUGACGUUACCAACAGAAUAAGCACCGGCUAACUUCGUG
rnacentral:rRNA from 1 species